UACGUAGGGGGCAAGCGUUGUCCGGAAUCAUUGGGCGUAAAGAGCGUGUAGGCGGUCCGUUAAGUCGGCUGUGAAAGUCCAAGGCUCAACCUUGGGAUGCCGGUCGAUACUGCCGGACUAGAGUUCGGAAGAGGCGAGUGGAAUUCCCGGUGUAGCGGUGAAAUGCGCAGAUAUCGGGAGGAACGCCUAUGGCGAAGGCAGCUCGCUGGGACGUUACUGACGCUGAGACGCGAAAGCGUGGGGAGCAAACAGG
rnacentral:rRNA from 1 species